rnacentral:tRNA from 1 species
CUUGAUAGCUCAAUUGGUAAAGAAUUUGCCUGCAAUGCAGGAGACCCUGGUUCAAUUCCUGGGUCAAGA